rnacentral:rRNA from 1 species
GACGAACGCUGGCGGCGUGCCUAAUACAUGCAAGUAGAACGCUGAAGGAGGAGCUUGCUUCUCUGGAUGAGUUGCGAACGGGUGAGUAACGCGUAGGUAACCCGCCUGGUAGCGGGGGAUAACUAUUGGAAACGAUAGCUAAUACCGCAUAAUAGUAGAUGUUGCAUGACAUUUGCUUAAAAGGUGCAAUUGCAUCACUACCAGAUGGACCUGCGUUGUAUUAGCUAGUUGGUGGGGUAACGGCUCACCAAGGCGACGAUACAUAGCCGACCUGAGAGGGUGAUCGGCCACACUGGGACUGAGACACGGCCCAGACUCCUACGGGAGGCAGCAGUAGGGAAUCUUCGGCAAUGGACGGAAGUCUGACCGAGCAACGCCGCGUGAGUGAAGAAGGUUUUCGGAUCGUAAAACUCUGUUGUAAGAGAAGAACGAGUGUGAGAGUGGAAAGUUCACACUGUGACGGUAUCUUACCAGAAAGGGACGGCUAACUACGUG